rnacentral:lncRNA from 1 species
GUUAGAAGUCCCACAUUGGCUAGAGAUAUGGCAAAGAUAGCCUUUAUAAGUGUAGUGCAAACCUCAACUCUCAAGCUAGCUUUUGUGGUUGAGUAUAGGCCUCUAAAAUUCUAAUAUGGUAUCNNNNNNNNNNNNGGGGGUGUGUUAGAAGUCCCACAUUGGCUAGAGAUAUGGCAAAGAUAGCCUUUAUAAGUGUAGUGCAAACCUCAACUCUCAAGCUAGCUUUUGUGGUUGAGUAUAGGCCUCUAAAAUUCU